rnacentral:misc_RNA from 1 species
GUGAAUCAUCGAAUCUUUGAACGCAAAUUGCACUCUCUUCGGAUAGUAUGCCUGUUUGAGUUUCAGUAUUAUUAAAAAUCUGUAUGUUGCGUCUUUUUUUCGCUCCGUAGGUUUUGUCAUCUUAAUAUCCUUUAGGGUUUAAGAGGCUUAAAAUUGACUUUUGUUGCGCAUUUUAUUUUUACAUAAAUUCUUUUUUUUAUUCGUCUGUCUUAAUGAUCUAAAUCCUAUUAGUUUCGACCAUAUCUUGUUGUU